rnacentral:rRNA from 1 species
AUUGAACGCUGGCGGCAUGCUUUACACAUGCAAGUCGAACGGUAACAGGGUGCUUGCACCGCUGACGAGUGGCGAACGGGUGAGUAAUGCGUCGGAACGUGCCGAGUAGUGGGGGAUAACGCAGCGAAAGUUGUGCUAAUACCGCAUACGUACUGAGGUAGAAAGUGGGGGACCUUCGGGCCUCACGCUAUUCGAGCGGCCGACGUCUGAUUAGCUAGUAGGUGAGGUAAAGGCUCACCUAGGCGACGAUCAGUAGCGGGUCUGAGAGGAUGAUCCGCCAGACUGGGACUGAGACACGGCCCAGACUCCUACGGGAGGCAGCAGUGGGGAAUUUUGGACAAUGGGCGAAAGCCUGAUCCAGCCAUGCCGCGUGUCUGAAGAAGGCCUUCGGGUUGUAAAGGACUUUUGUCAGGGAGGAAAUCCCUAGUGCUAAUAACACUGGGGGAUGACAGUACCUAAAGAAUAAGCACCGGCUAACUACGUGCCAGCCGCCGCCGCAG